rnacentral:lncRNA from 1 species
UUUGUAGGAAAAACCACAGAUUUCUAGAGAGUCGUCCACGGCAAGCAGAAUUGAUCUGUUGCCAAACCCCGGAGGCACAAGAACCAUGGUUGAGAGACUACUAAGUAAUAGGCAAGUUCUAUACAUACCUUGCAUCUCAAGUAUCAUAUUUAUCUCAUUAAUUUCAUAGGUAACCUUCUGAUCCUCUAAAUGGCUUCCAGCAGCUCGACGACAAGUCACCGAGAAUGCAUGGAAACGUUCAGCUGUGGGUUAGCUUCACAUGAGUUACUCUCCCCAACACAUGUCCUGCAAAAUUCACACGAUUACUUUGGUUCUUCAAACAUGGCCAACAAUAUUUCAAUGAAUGCUAUGAGCAACCAUCCUUUGUCCAUUUUACGAAGUCAUGGCAAGGAGACCUCCUACAUGUGAAGCAUUUGAGAGGAAGUUAUGAUUUCUUCAGAAAGGAGGUGGGAGGUAGCUGAGGUUGGACAUAUGUAGAUUUCUUGUCCUUCAAGCUUGUCCCUAUUCGUUGUUAGAGGGUUAAUGGAUUGUGUAUAUAUAAAAGCUCGUUCAUUCCGUACGUUUUGAAGGAUGGCGAGGAGAGUUGUUGCUCGGGCAUGGAGUGAACGACGAGGAAAAGGAAAGUGUAGGUAUAUAGUUCAUAUAUAAACUUAGUUGCAAAGUAUAUCAUAUACUGUAUAUAAAUAUGUUCAAUUGUUCAUUUCUUCCGGGGGUUAAUCUUCCUCGAAAUUUGUUACUCUAAAGUGCUUUGAGCUAUAGGAAAUGAGCGAGUUUCGAUAGAGGCUUGUGGGCGUUUGACCCUAUUUGAUCCUGCUGAGUGAUUCAACGAUAACUUUGAAAUGUAAGCAAGCCUUUACAGAUUCCAAACAAGACCCUGAAACUGUCAUUUGAGAAAUUUAUUACAUUUGGAAAAUGUAAUGGGGUUGUGUGAUUAUUGUCAAACUUAGGAUCUGCUUCAUGGUAUGGGUUCAGACGUUCAGUAGCAGAGAGAGAGAGAGAGAGAGAGUAAUGACUAAUGAAUGAAUGAAUGCAGAAGAGAGAGAGAGAGAAGAAGAAGGCAGAAGUUGUCUUGAAUAGUGGCUUCUCUAGGAAAAAGGUUUUGGAGUUUUGCAGACUAAAUGCUUUCUUUCUGUUUCAGAUUCCCUCCCCAAGCCUCUAGCCCAUAGCCCACCCACCACUGACCACACCACCAAUCUCUCUUCACACUUUUCUUUCUCUCAACUCAGCCCCUUCCUUUCGUCCUUUUACUCUGUUCUGGAGGUUCCUCUUCCAUCAUUUCCUUUCUACCUUUUCUCAAACUACCAAACAAAGGAACCCAAUGUCAAAUUCAAUAUAAAAAUAAAAUAGACCAUCUAUCUUUCUCUCCGACUCUGCUAAGCUAAGCUGUAGGAAUACAGGACAAAGUGCGGCAGCAGCAAAUACAUACAUGUAACAAUAGUAGACUCAGUACUAAUCUAUAAAGCACACACUGCUUUCUCGUACUUCACAGUAACAUAUCCAGUGUGUGUUCAUUUUCCCUCCCAUCCUCGAUCCUGCAUUUUGUCUCUCUCUGCUCAAAACCCAUUUCAAAUCAAUGGCUUCUUCAUUCAACCUACAAAACAGAAGACCCUUCUCUUCUCCUUCUUGUUUCUGACUUGCUACCAACAUCUAUAAUACCAAUUUCAGCAUUCCCAUUUCAGGUGCAGCCAAGUAAGUAUAAAUGUCAAUGCCUUUAGGGCAGCAGCAGGGACCACUGGUGAAUGUCAACCCACAAUCAUUCGCCGGCAUCCACUCGUCAUCCCACCCUUCGGUCGGGCCUGUAAUUGCAGUGCUGGUGGUGAUCAUGAUUCUGGGAAUUGCAGCAGUGAUGAUUGGAAGGAUGUGUUCUGGGAGGAGGAUACUGGGUUACGGCCAAUACGACAUUGAAGGAUGGGCUGAGACCAAGUGUUCAACUUGCAUUGAUGGAAGGAUUACUCCUUCUCCUCCUCCUCUUCCGCGGCCUCCUACACCGCCUGCUACUACUGCUCCUCCUCCACCACUUGGGGACAGUGACAAUGCCGCUUCUCACGGCGAGAAUGAUGAUGAAGAGGACGAAAGUGGAGGUAGUUCAUCACCCACCUGACUGACAUUGUGUUUUUUCCCUUUUCUUUAGAGGAGAGGUUCUCAUAUGUUUUCUUCUCUGCUAAAUGUUCACACUUAUUGGAACUCCUGAGGAACUGUUGAUUGUUUUCCCACCCACCAUUGAAGCAGCAGCAUUAAUUAGUUGCUUUGACCUUAUUAUAAGUUAUAACUUGUUAUUAGCUUGGCUGCUAGUUUUUUUUUAUGUUCAGUUUCUCAUCUCUAUUUUCUGCUCAUUCUAAUUUUGGACGAGACGAGUUCCCAAACUCCAUGAAUAUUUGAUUGAAAACCCAGCAGAAGCAAGGGAUGUGUAGUGACUAGUGAUAGAUUAUUUUCUGAAACUGCUAUUGAAAUUCGAGCAUAUUUGGAAGGUAGUAUACUAGAGUCUCUCUCUCCCAUAUUCCAUUUAAACCUGGAACAUGUCGGUCAACUGCGGAAUUUACAUUGGUCGAUGAUGUAGUAGUAAUUGAGGAGGGGAAAGUAGGUUCACGUGAAGAAACUGACAUAUGAUGAGAGUGAUGUAUCAGUGAAAUGUUUAUUCUCACGAAACUGUAGGCAUCACUUCACAAUGAGAGAACAGCGUCAUUCAGAAUAAGGAAGGAAAUUAAAAGAGCUAACUAGAGACAUGUUUGUUCAUUAUACCCCAGUCAGUUUCAACGUACCUAUUGCUGCUGCUGCUGCUGCUGUUCCCAUCUCAGUCUUUCUUGCCCAUACAUAAUAUAUUCCCAUGGCGAUUCGCUACAUAAAGUUGCCAUAACAUCACAGUGAUGAUGAGACUGUUACUGGCUGCAAACCCCAUUCCCCUCAAAUAUCCCCUAGACCCAAGAGAGUAGUACUAGCUAGCAAUAGCAUUGUUAAGAAAAGAAUCCAACAUGGAACACAGUCUCAGCCCACUAGUUCAUCAAUAAACCUCGUCUUCCCCUCCAACUUGUUACAUUAUUCACUCCUAAAGUAUAUAAACAAAUGUUGGCAUUUGGGAAAAACAUGCUGAGUUUCAGAUAAUAAUGCAAGUUGUUAAUCAACUUGCACCCUGAAGUGAACUUCCAAACGUGAUCAAGGAACGAAGGAAAUAACAUAAGCAAGGCUCUUUCUUGUUAAACUAGUAACAUCCAGAUUCCAGACACAAGUUCUAUCUAUGGACCAAAAGUAGAAGGAGGACGCUGAGCUUGAGAAGAUGAGAGAUGCCAGCAACCACAUGCAACCUACUCCUUGGAACCCCUGUUUUCCCCACUGCCUCUUGUCCAGCAUUACAAAGCAAGGUACGGACUUUAUUUCAUAAUGCAGCAGCUGUAACAGCCAACCAACCAGUUCAACAAGUUCAUAAAUUUCUGAAUCAGAGUUCAAGUUGAAACCAUUUCUUUCACCAAUAUACUAAACCAUUUAUCCACCUAUUGUUAUCAGCAAAAUAUCAACCCCAAGUGUUUGAAAGACCUAAUAGCACCUAAUUCUGUACCAGGAGUCGAUUACUUUAUCUCAGGCAGCCAUUGUUCAUUCUUUGCAUCGGCCAUCACAAUGUUGACCCAAUCCCAGUUUCUCCUCUCCACCUCCGUCACCAAAUUGACCAAUGAGUUGCAGAGCAUACACUUGGGGGAGUAAAAUUCAAGCACCGUUGCCUCUUUCCCGCCAGCCAGAGCCGAAGCAAACGCUCUUUGCUCCGCCUCAGCCUGCUCUUCCGCACUUCUCUUUCCUUUCCCAUUCGCCGACGAAUUGGAGACCGAGUUUAUGGAUUUUAGGGCAAUGGAGUCCAGAGUGCUGAGGGAUUUCAGCAGCCAUGGACCCUCGUAAGAGCAGGCGUUGGGGCUAGUUUUGUGAUUCUGGUCCCAAGGCCAUGUUAGACAGAAGAGAGGAUGCUUUGGAGGAGCUGCGUCGGUUUUCAUCUCGAUUUCUUUCUGGCCGUGAAUUACCAUUUACUAGCGAGUUUGUGUUUUCAGUCGGAGCCCUUUGUGAGAAUCCUCAAAAGAUUUUGAGGUCAGAACUGCAGAACGGCAUUAUAAACAGUUUGUUAUAAAACUAAACUCAAAGAAAGACAAGAACAAGAGAAAAUAUGGAGAGGGAGAGAGUUUCUUAUUGAUGUGUAGAUAUGAUACAAUGUAGAGUCCUAUUUAUAGGCUCAUGAAACCAUAACCUAUACAUUCUAAUAUUAAUACAAUUAAGAGAGUAAUAUAAUACAUGAUCAAUGCAAUGGGAGUUACACAAUGAGCAUUCAACUACAUUUAUAUAAAAUAUUCAUAACACAGUUAGAUUACAUUCAUUUUUUUGGGUAAAUUUAGGUGAGACGGCACCUAUUUGUUAUUCACAAUCAAAAGAUGUUGGGAAUCUCCAAACAAGUGAUACGAAAUGUGCAUCGAUAAAGUAGAAUCAUUAAUGAAAAUAGACUGAACACCAAUAUAUAGUCUAUGACCUAGGACCGUUAAGUAGUCCACUGUCUGGUUGCCUUCCCAAUAAAUGUGCUCAACUUUGUUUGUCAAGUUCCGAUCCAACAUCUCACGGAACCGAGCGACCUCAGAAGAGUGCUGGUGUGUGCUCUCACUCUCCGCCAACCGAAGUUAGAUUGCAGCUCGUGAAUCCAGCUGCACCCGUACCUGUCUGUACCAAACUCCGAAGCCAGUUGUAACCUCGGUACAACAACUCCCAACUUAGCCCUGGUUAUUGAGGAGAUUCCCAGGUUCAUCGAAUAUGCCGCUAAGUAACGACCAUCGGAUUCACGGAAUAAACCUCCUGCUGUUGCUUUUCCGGUCUCUGGAAUAGCAGACUCGUCAGAGUUAAGAGCAACCCACUCGGGUGGUGGUGACAGCGAAGAGACUUCCACCACUGUCUUGGUGGGCGAACCAGCAUGAGUGGAUUGGUCACAUAUCAAGGUCUCCACAAUCGUCUCGGGCCAUUAUCUGAUAUGAUGUGCAAGGGCCUGGAGUGGUGCUAAUAUCAGUGAAAAUAGCUUCAUUUCUGGCCUUCCAAAGAGACCGGCAGGCAACCCCAAAAAGAAGGCUAGUGCUUGACGCCUUCAAGUAGUGUGUGAUCAAAGGCAAAAGUAAGGAUUCCCAGUUCGUUUCAUCUUCAGAAAGGAAAACGUUCCUAGGUGGUGACUGCGAAGGGACAAUCCUGCAACACAUGCAAGGUUGUUUCUGCUGGGUAGUGGCAGCGUGUACAUGCUCCAUCCGUCAAUAGGUGUUUAUGUCUUCUUGACUCAUUCGUCAACAACCUGUCAAGAGAAGCUAACCAAAUAAAAUAUUUAACCCGGUUAGGGCAGCGCCAGCUCCAAACUGUGUGCCAGUCAGGAGGGUCCACCAGGUCCUCGUUCUCGUCAAGGAGCUCAUAAGUGGAGCGAAUGGGGAACCUGCCAUCUUUCUCCAAGCCCCAGUAGAUGGGGUCUUCUCCACUACCCAGCCGUGGGGAUGACAUCCCCGUAACACGCAAAACCAUAUCGUCGAAUACUAAGGAACGGAUAAGUUGGAGAUUCUACUCACCCGAAGCGUGGUAGCUGGUGCUGAAAGGUCCGGAUCGGCCGCCGAAGGAAGGAUAUGUUCAAUGAGAUGGGUCCCGACAUCUAUCCAUUGUGCGAUCCAGAAUGAGGUAUCCGACCCAUCUCGAAUGUCAUCCCGUACUCCCAUUGCCACGUGUGGCAUAGAUGCCCGGAUUCCCCACCAUAAAACCGACUUUAAGAAGGAGUGCCUCUCGUGAAAACCACCCUUCCGUCUGUUAUACUUGGUCUGUACCACCAGCACCCACAAAUUAUUUGGUUUUACAAGGAAAAGGAAACCCAGCCUGAUCAUUUAAGCCUGAUGAGUUGUCGAGCCAUUCUCAAGCCGAGGAAACCUUGAUGCUUUGGUUGGAAAAUCUUCUUAGUUGUGGUGCCCCAAACAAAGUUCCUAAUUCGCUUGUCAAUUUCAUAGUAGAUAUGACUUCGAAGCUUUGUGGUCUGCAUAACAUAAGCAGGGAUAGCAAAUAAAACGGAUUGAGCAAGAGUUACUCUACCGACAAAUGAGAGAGACCAUGCCUUCCAGUCAACAAGUUUCUGGUCCAACCUAUCAAGGAUCUCCCGGUAUGUUGCAUUCGUUACACGUUCGUGCAGAAUUGGAACUCCCAAAUAUUUUCCUAGAUUUUGCAUCAUAGGGAUCCCAAGAAACUGUGCAAGCCUUCUGGCUUCCGGCCUAGGAACCGUUUGUGACAAGAAUACCGCUAAUUUUUCCUUACUUACAGACUGCCCAGAUGCAGAGUAGAAGGUAUCCAAGCAACAAAGAAUUGUAAAAGAUUGACGUUUUGAGACCUCUCUAAAAAGAACUAGAUCAUUUACAAAGAAAAUAUGUGAGAGCAGCGGUCAGUCAUGAGCUAGGUGGAUGGGAUUCCAAUCAUUGGCAGAGAUCGCAACAUUGAUCAGGUGGCUGAGCCGUUCGAUGUCGAGAGUAAAGCGAAAGGGAGAGAGUGGUUAUCCCUGCCUAAUAUCACGGGAAGGUGUAAAUUUCCCAAUCAGCUCACCAUUCCACAAUACAUGAAACCUGUUAGUCGAAACACACUUCAUGAUCAAGGAAACCAAGUUGGCGGGAAUACAUGUGGUCGUAAGAGUAUCUUCAUGAAACGGACAACAGAUUUUGUCGUAUACCUUGGCAAGGUCAAUUUUCAGCACCAUGCUUCUAACUUUACCUCGAUCAUUCUCCAUAGUGUGGACGACCUCCUGCAGGAUGGUGAUGUUGUCUAUGAUGUAUCGACCAAGGUGCACAUAUGGUGUUGGAGGCGGUUAGUGAGCAGUUUGGUGAUUAGGUUGUAGGCGACAUUACAAAGGCUAAUCGUUCUAAAUUACCUAAUAGAAUUCGGUCUCUGCACCUUGGGAAUUACCACUAGCACCGUCUCAUUGACUACCUCAACCUGUGAUGGGCCGACAAACACAUCAAUUGCAAACUGAAUUAAAUUUUUGCUAACAUGGUCCCAACAUUUCUGGAAAAGAGCGGUUGAUAGAAAUUCUUGUCGGGUGCUUUGAGACUUCCCAUAUCGAAGAGAGCUGAUUUGACUUCAAGUAAGGAAGGAGUUCUCACCAACCUUGUCUAGUUUGCUUCUGUAAGAGGAGUGAACCCACAGGGGAGAGUGGAAGAUUACAUUCAUUUGAUAUAAUGGUAAAUACAAUAUAAUAACUAAUAGGGUACUAUAGUCAAGUAAUAAACAUUACUACCACCUACGUUGCCAAUUCAUACUAAAUAAACCACGUUGCUAGUUGCUACUAAAUAAAAGGACCCCACCCUUGAGGGUGGGUUAGUUUGAUGGUACUAUUUGGCCUGGCGACUGUUGCAGAAGAAUUCAGCUACUGAACUCUUUUGAAUUUAGGAGUAGAGGGGUAGUUUCGUUAUUUCAUAUUUUAAUUUAAUUUAUUUAUUUUACAUAUUAAUUAAUAUUUUCCCUUAACUUCUUUAUUUAAUUAAUAUCUUUUGCAUACGAAAUCAUAUUUGAAUAAUUUUGGCGCUAAAAUAUUAGUUUUUGAAAUGCGAUUAAAAUAAGUACAAUCAUGGUAUAGUUUCAACGAACUUUUUUUCCGAGGUCAAACACGUGAGUUGACUGCCUCAAAACUAGGCUUGAUAGCUAUCACCAACUUACAGGUAGUUAUUGUUAGAUUGGGAGGUUCCUGAGUAGCAAUGCUUCGAGUUUUGACAAGUAAAGAGAUCUUGGAUAAACACGAAAUCGUGGGCAUCACUUUUCGAAAAGAGUAUUUCCACCCAAUAAACCUUGGGUAUCACGAAAUCAAUUCUAAGGAUAAGACCGCCUACACUCGAUUUAGAAACUAGAGUAACUUAGAAUCUCGUAAGCUAGGAUAGAUGUGUGUUUUUUAUUUCUAUUUCUCCCACAUGGCUUCUUUAUAUAGGCAAAGGGUCCAGGGGCAAAGGGGUACGAGUUCAUGUACCAAGAGGCAUCCUUAUCUCUAUGGAUAUACUUGAAGGUGGUUAUAACCUUGAAGCCCUACGGGUUUGGAGGCAGAACAACUCAGAUUUGAGUUUGACUUUCAUGAAGAGGUGUGAACCAAUUCGUCCUAGGAGAAGGAGUAACCACCACAAUCACGUAGAUCCCUACCAUCACCAUAGCUCAACUCAGCAUCGUAGCUAGUGACACUAGCAUCGAGUUGGAUGAGUUGGAGUGUCAGUCCUAGCAUGAAUUAGCUCAUAGAGGGGCUGAUGCUAGCUAGUUCCUGGUUGCUCUGAGCUAAGGUGAGGUUCCCCGUGAGUCCACACAUCAUUACCAUCACCGGCAUCGCACCAAGGUCAAGUCCAAGGUGCUGCCAUCACACCAAGGUCGAACUCUCUGUGCAUAUUUCUAACAUUCCUCUCCCAUUUUAGCGUAGUUUGCGAAUUCACUAAAAUUACAACAAAUAUCCAAUCAAAAAACUCUUGUAUUAAUGAGAAUGUCACAAAGAUUGAAUUUUUAUGUAGUAUAUUACACAUUCCAGAAUACUCAAAUAUAGGGGUGUCACAAAGGAUUGAACCUGUCUACUCAUUUGAGUGUAUGAAGAUAACAUACAUAAGAGUUUAUCCUUUCAUGAGCGAACACAAAACCAAUUCCAAGUUUCUUGAAGCAGCUACACUUCAUGCUAGCACAGGUUAAUUCCUUUAUUGUUCGCCUGCGUAUAUACUUUGUCAAGGAAUCAAUUAAGAAGUUAAUCUCCAACCUCUAUCAUUCGUACGUUUCUGAGCACAUACCUUCAGGAUGUUUCAAAUCUUGUGCUCUAGUUCACGGCCAACAUUAUGCCUCACCCCUAAAUGAUGAGACUUGCCAUUAUAGACUUGGAUAUAUGUCCUAGCUAUGGUAGCAUUGCUAUCACAUAAGACAACAAUCAGUGAGAUAGGUCUCAGCCACAAUAAAAUCUCAUACACCAAGUCCCUUAGCUAUUCUGCCUCCUUACUGACGAGUCAUGGAUAGAUAUUGGAGGCUCCCCACGAGUUGUCGAAAUAGUGUCAGAUUAUGAAAGGGCGUGUCAUCUUGUGGUGUUGCGGUGGUCCCUGAUGGUGUGGAAAGAGGCUUGGCCGUUGACAUACCUAAUCGAUGGAGAAUGCUAUUUAUAUAUUUGGUUUGACACAGAUGGAGCCCAUCACCACAUUUGCUCACUUGAUGUUGAACUUGGCCGCGAGAUGCUUAAGAAGAUCUUGAAUUGCUGCAUCAGAUGAACCAGUAGCGAUAAUGUCAUCAACAUAAAUCAAUACAAACAUGGUGAUACCUGAUCGGUUGUAAUAGAACAUUGAAUGAUCAGUUUUAGAGUCUUUCAAGCCGUAGUCAAGAAGAGCUGCUUGGAGACACGAAAACCAAGCUCUUGGGGCUUGUUUAAGACCGUACAAAGAGCGUUGAGGAAGAAAAACUUGGUCCGGAUGGCAGGUGGUUGUUCCAUGUAGACGGUUUCAUCAAGAGUGCCGUGCAAAAAAGCGUUAGUCACAUCAAGGCAUUAGAGACCAUUUGUGUGUAACAACAUCAUAUAAAAUUAAGCGAACACAUGCAUGUUUGAUUACCGGACUAAACAUCUCAGUGAAGUCAACGUCUUCGAUUUGAUGAUAGACUUCGGCAAAGAGGCGUGCUUUGUAGCAAGCAAUUGAGCGAUGGAGGUGUCGCUUGAUGCAGAACACCCAUUUAUUUCCAAUCACAUUGUAACCAAGUGGCCGAGGAACCAAUCACCAUGUAGGAUUGUGGAGGAGGGCAUUAAAUUCAUCUCCCAUUGCUUCUCGCCAGUGUUGUAUAAUUGUGCCUAAGUGAAGCAAGUGGGGUCGAGUUCAUUGUCGAGGGUGGUGUUUGCAACAUAUGUUUGAGGCUUUAAGUGGCAUGUUUGUUAGCGGGUGACCAUUGGAUGAAUGGAGGUGGACGGCUCAGUUGGUGGAUUGGUUGCACCCUGCGUAAGAUCAAUCACCAAAUUAGAAAUGCUAGCAUUGGAGUCACUUGUAAUUGGCGACACCUGAGAUGGAUUUGGAGAGGUAGUGGCGGUUGUGCUUGUUGGUGGGCUUGGUGGUGGGGUAGUGGUUGCGCUUAAUGGUUUCAAUGGGCCUGUAGGCGAGCUGAUCGACAAAGGCAGGGUGAUGUUUGGCCACAGAAAAAGAGGGUGUGGUUGUGGACUCGGGCCCGUAAGUGCAGAGUUGCGUACCUGGAAAGGGAAAACUGUUUUGUCAAAUAUCACAUGGCGAGAAAUAUACACCCAACCUGUUUGAGGAUUCAAGCAAUAAUAGCCUUUGUGCUGAGAACUAUAACCCAAGAAAACACAAGGAGCCGAUUUACUGUCCAACUUGUGAGCCACAUACGAUUUUAACCAAGGAAAGCAUAAACAUCCAAAAAUACACAACGUAGUGUAAUCAGGAGCAUGAUCAAAUAACUUGGAUAUUGUUUGUUUAUCUGGAUAGUUUAGAGGGAUUCGAAAUAUAAGCAAUUUUAUCCAUUAGUGUUUCUCCAUCAUUAUUCGUACAGUAUUGCAAUCCCUAUUUUUUUGUUAUUUGCUUUGGUAGGUUAAUUUAGUUAUUAGUUCAUAUAAAUCGUGAUACUUCAACCACAUCUUUUGUUAAAUCGAUUAGCACUUUUCACAACUUUGAGACCCUAGGGAAACUUGAAUAUAGUUAAUUUGUUAACUAGGUUUAUUUUGAGACGCGUAAAAAGAAUUUAUCAAGUUGGGGCCAUUGCUGGGGACUCUUUGUUAUGUUUAAAAGAAGGUAGUUUAAUGUUAAUCAUCACUCAUUGUGUAUUUCCAUCUUUUCUAUAUUUUCUUUUGUAAGUUUCAGCUUGGUAGUUUUGUUUGAGUUUAACGAUGCAGGACUACAGAGGAUACAACAAGAGAUGGAGUCAGAACGAGCAUCAAACAUCACCAUCUUGGUAUGAGAAUACUUGUUGCACUUCAUACUACCUGAAGUGUGUGUGGGAUUAUCAUCAUCAGCCUUCCUGAAGUUAUUCAGAGCCAUCAUCGUGUCAGUGUAGCUAUCAAGAUUCAUGCACAACUCCAUACCAUUAGGAGCCUACACGAAACUAUCACUAUCAAAUUACUUAAGAUUAUAUAGAGCCAUCACCAAACCAUUACUGUUAGGAUAUCAAGGAAAUGCGUGCGGCCCAGGAGGAAAGGCUUGCUCCGGUGGAAGAAAUGAUGAAGAUAACGGUAGAGAUGCCGAAGAGAAUAUAUGCCAGAAAGGAGGUGACUUCAAGGAUAGAGCCUUCUAACAGUCCCUUUGACGAGGAGGCCAAGUACGACAAUGAUGAGGACAUUCAAGAUGUGCUCACUGUUACAAGAAACAUGAUGGUCACAAAGGAGGGAAAUUCAUCCACCCUUAAAGACAAUGUAGCCAAUAGUGAUGAAAAGCUAGAAGUGGCUCAACGGGAUGGGAUUGAUUUCCCUUUUAAAUACUUAGAGGAUAAAGACAAAGAUCUAGAAGAUACACCAAUCAUUAUAGAAGUUUAGGAUAUAUGUGAUGGUGAUGAACUUGGAAAAUGCAAAUGGGAUAGGUCUUCUUCAAGCUUUUGGGAUGACGAUGAAGUUACCCGGGAACAAAUCAUUGAGGAAAUUCAAGUUGUAUGUGAUAAAAAAUUGGAAGAAUUUAAAGAAGAUGACAAUGAAUACCUCAUCAAAGCAUUAUGGGAGGAUGAAGCUGAUGUUCAAAAUAUGGUGACAGAUGUCAUAAAGUGCUCCAUCGACGAGGCCAUCAUUUUGAUUGUAGUUUCACCAAAGAAAACAGAGGUUCUUCAAAACUUCUGCUUGGUCAUGAAGUUCUUGUGUCGGAAAACUGAUAACAAGUAGUUAAACUGAAAAUUUGAAGAGGUCAAAGAAGAUGAACCACUCAUGGUCAACUCAGAAGACCUUUCAAGUGGCAUAAGUAGCUUGAAGAAGAUUGAGGUUGUUCAUAGUGAAAAAUCUUUCUAGCUCUUCCCUCCUCAAGCAUCAAAAUUAAGAAGGAGAAGGUAAUUCAGGGGUGCCAAAUGGUUUUUGAGAAAAAAUUGCUAGUUAUUCUAUCAUCUGCUUUAUCAAUUGCUCGGCACUCAACUUUGUACCAUGAAGAAAACAAUGGCAUUCAAGGAUGUACUUAGUUGGAUUGCAUAACAAUCCAUAUAUCGUCUAGCUCAAAUACGUUAAAGAAAGAGCGCUUUAUAGGAGGCAACCCAUGUCUGGAAUCAUUUUAAUUUUUCAAUUUUUGAGUCAGGCUGCAUUUUUAGGUUUCAUCGUUUUAAUUAGUGUUUGUCUAUCAUUAUUUUAGGAUCCUAAAUCCAUUUUAUUAUGUGUGGGACUUGGACAAUUAUCCUAGUCCGUUUUUACUUUUAUUUUUGGUUUUAUGUGUUUGAGUCUUUUUCAGAAGUUAGUGUUGGCACUGAGUUUGAACUUCAUGGAUCAUGUUUCUUACUUCUCAGGUUUCUCACAGCUUCCAGGUGUUCCUAUAUAACUUUUUUGUUUCGUUCAGUGAGGAAACUAUCUGAACUAAGUGUGGGGUGGGUAUGCAUAGGAUGCCUAUCAGUAGUCUUUUGGGUUAUUAUCUUUGCAUGUUGAUUCAUAAACUGAAGCUUGUUGGAACCAUUUUUAAUUAGUUACUUGGCAUGCUUAGAAAACGUCUCAAUGAUUUGUGCACUUGAAAUGCUGACUUGCUUGUGAACCUAGAUUUUAUAGGAGUUUAGGAAUAUGAUUAAAGUCUAUUGAUUCAUUCUCUAGAGCUGCUUUGAUUAGUUCAUAGCAGCACAGACUCUCCAACUUAAGGAUUACCUAGCAUGCAUGUUAUCAAAUAACAAUUUAGAAAGACAAUUCGAGGCCUAAAAGACCAUUUUGCAGUAUAGAAAGUUUGCUUCACUAGUAGACUUGUUCUUAAUUUGAUUUGAGUGGUCUUCUCUGUUGGCUGUUAAUCCGGCGGUUGCAUGAUACCGAAUUGAAUUCACUCGGUAUUGAUACACUAGAAUGAUAGAGGCUUUUAGAAAAGCUCCACCAUAAAAUAUCCAUCCCGUCCCUAAAUAUUUCCCCUAGGAAUAACCGGUACAUAGCCAAAAAGUCUUUUCAUGUCCCCCCAUAAUAUAGUAUCCCCUUUCUUUCAAGCCUUCAUUUGAUCAUAUGUACAUACGUGGUAUGUAACUCGCCUGAGUCUAGGAUUCAAUGAAGUUGGUAAGUUGAGUAAUUGCAAGAUUAUCUAGUCUCCCUAAGUAGUAGUUUGUGUAUAGUUUUUGUUUAUUAAAAAAGAAGAAAAUCUCAAAAAAAGGAGACAAGAAAAGAUCCAGACUACGUUUUCUGAUUAUAUGACUCAAAUCCUGCAGAUAAAUGAUUUGACAUCGAUUUUGAUUUGCCAAGGGUGAAAAUAUUUCCCCCAUAAAUUGUCUUGUUUUCCAUUAAUUGUUGUCACCGAAUUUAGAGUAAGUGAAACAAAUAGGGGUAAUAAGUGAAGAGAGAGAAAGAGAGGGAAGGGAGAGAGAUGACAAAAUCUGAGGGUAAUUAAAUUUUUCGUCACUUUAAAUAAGGGAAAAUGAAAACCCUCAUAUGGAAAAUUUGAGGCCCACGGGAAUUCAAAGUCUGGUGGUUUUUGGAGCAUGUUUUUAAUCGGAAAAGACAUAUUCAUUUUUUGCCACCGGAUUUCACAAAAUCCAGCCUAUUUGAUCGCGUAGAAAAUGCAGUCCCAUUCUCGGAGAUAAAAAGAAAAAUAAAUAAAAAUACAAAAAAAAACCAAAAAGGUAUCGAGUUAGUAGAAUAAACGAGUACAAAAGCUCAAGGUAGUUUUCACUAGGGACAAAUGAGCUAGUUUAACGCUCUUGUUGAAAGUUGAAUCCUUGCAUCAUGUUAGUGGUCUUAGUAGCUUAGCUUUAUAUUAGAUUAUACCGAGUUGUCUGCCACUAUGUACACCUACCACCACAUUCAUUUCACCUUCUCUUCUAUGUUCUCACCACAUUUCAACCCAAAUUAAAGACCUCUUGACUAGUGUUCGAUGUGCCUUAAUGUGAUGAAUAAAAGUAGGUUGAUAUGCAAGUGUUGGAAGCGCACCUUAGGGUUAAUGAUGAGCGUAUAGACACUGUCCCUAAACACGUGAGUAGUGCUUUCGGCUUCAUCUUUAAGUCAAAUCUCUUGAGAGUAAGUCUAGAUGGGCAGUAUAACAUUUGUGAUGAUGCGUGGCAAGUUGGGGAAUUUCUUGUGAGGCUUUUACUUCCUAUUUUGGUUUCGUUUAAGGGUGAACUUGUAUGUUAAGUAAAUUUAGGGGUGCAUUGAGGAAUAUGGGUUUACUUUGCCAUGUUAGUAAUUUGAUUCACUUGUAGGUGUCUUCCAUAACUUUUAUCAGCUUGUUGCUUGAGAACAAGCAAAGCUUAAUUGUGGGGUUAUUUGAUGACGCUAGAUUUUUCAUAUUUUUCGCCCUCAUUUAUGUGAUAUUUCAUUCAUAAUUGUGUUGCUUUAGGUAGAAGCUUAAGAUUUUUUAUGCAUUUCAAGCUUUUAUCUCGAUUUAGUGUGUCGGACCCGUUCGGAGUCCAUUUGAAGUCGUUUUGGAGUGCUUUUGAUAGAUUUCAGGUACAUGAAGACAUCGAGGCAUUAAUUGGAGUGAUACGCAUGCAUGGAUGAUCUAGGACAAGAAAUGAGAAGAAUUUCGUCAUCUUGAUGCAGCUUUGAUCUCGACCUGGUCUUAAAACGUUGCAUUUUUGUAUUUUGGACAUAUCUCCUAACCCAGAAAUCCAAUUGUUGCAAGACUGGUGGCGUUAGAAAGCUAGUUCAACUUUCUAAAAAAUUGGUGCUGGAAGUUUUAUUAAGGAUUGAGCCUAAACUAGAAAACUUUUGUGCCUCAGUUAAGGCACAAUAUUUGAUAAGGGUUAGGCGUAAUUGUUGACAAAUCCAACAAAAUUUAGAAUGUGCUCAUCGAAGACUUCAAUGAUGUGCUCACUAGUGAUGAUAAAAGGGGUCGGCGGGAACUCCUACAACAUCAAUGGGUUAAGAUAAGAUAUUUCAGAUGUCAUUUGGUUGACAUCUGUCUAAUUGGAUACCCCUUUACUUGGGUUAAAUCUCGAGGGUCGCCAAAUUGUAUUGAAGAGCGACUUGACAAGUGCUUUAUUAAUGAAGGGUUUUGGGUAGAUAUGCAGGUUUGGAGCUUUAUAAUCUCAUCUCCUCGUAUUCUGCUCACAUGCCUAUAGUCAUAAGAAUGGAACCACACCCAACUACGAAUUACUCUCGAAGCUUCAGGUUUGAGAAUGCACGGCUCACGGAACCUUUCUUGCACUCUUUGGUUACUCAUAAUGGAUUUUUCUACAGAGACAUCCCAUGCACUUGCGGCUUAAGAAAUGCGCAGCAAUUCAGGAACAACUAGGCAAAGAUAUCACCCUUAAGUUCUGGCAGGACAUAUGUAAGAAGAAAGAGCUGCUAACGAGAUUGCGUUGCGGGAGGAACUUUUCUUUCUUCUCCAUAAGGAAGAAGCUUUUGGAAGUUAAGGGCCAAACAUUUUUGCCUUGCGCACAGUGACCUGAACACUGGAUAAUUCCAUGGGGUUGCAAAUGGUGGGCGAAAGCGAAAGAAAAUUGAAGAACUACAGACUGACUCCGGGGAUUGGGUUACCGAUUUUGAUGUAUGUCUGUUGUUGCCAGAGAUUAUAUUUUCAGGUCUUCCACUGAACAAUUGCUCUAUAGCCCCAAUUAUUGCUGCAUUGGAGAAUAAGAUUUCUGCUAAGAACAACUUGUCUCUUUUCUCUCCUUUUACUCAAUAGGAGUUCCGUGUGGCCAUCUUCUUGAUGCACCCAAAUAAAUCGUGCGGCCUAGAUGGUUUAAACCUUAGUUUUUACUAGUGUUUUUGGGAUAUUCUUGGAGACGAAAUCUUCUCUACUUGUUCUUCAUGGUAGUAUUCCGCUGGAGGUUCACUCGACCACUAUUGUUCUUCUUCCCAAACAGAACAAUGUGGAGUCUCUAACAGACCACGCGAUCUCACUUUGUAGUGUGAUGUAUCAUUUGAUUGCAAAGGUCCUAGCUAACCGCUUACGACAAGUGAUUCACAAAGCAAUUGGUGAAGAACAGUUAGCCUUUCUCAAGCAGCACAGUAUUGUUGACAAUAUCCCCUGGGCAUUUGAGACUCUAUAUUAUAUAAAGAUGAAGUAGCGCACCAACAAUGAAUUUCUGGCUCUGAAAUUGAUAUGUCUAAGGCAUGUGAUCAUAUCAAGUCCUCCGUACUAUGGGUUUUGAGGCAUAAUAGAUUUCUUGGAUGAUGACGAUAUGCAUAAAUUUUGUGCACUAUUGUGCACUUGUUUAUAAUAAGUUGAGGGAAAAGAUCUCCUUCGUAGGGUCUCUGUUUGUAAGCUGAGAAAGGUAUGAAUUGUGAUCAGAUGAAUGCCCUGAGAAAACCUGAUGCAGUGACUAUUGAGAAAGCAAAGAAGAGUCGCGAUGUUUGGAUGAAGUUGAAAGAGGCUCAAGAAGCUUUUUAUAGCCAAAAUGCAAAAGAAAACUGGUUGAGUUUAGGUGACUCAAAUACUAGUUGUUUCAUCAAUCUGUGCAGUUAAGGUAGGCUCGUAAGUAAAUUAUUUCAUCGAUCUGUGUAGUAUUGUAGUAGAAUACUACAUAAAGUUUUUGGGUGUUGUGAAAAUGAGUGGAGGCUAUAUCUAUGGAUGAUCUGGCUGCCAUGCUCAUCUAAAAACUUCCUGAAGAAAGAGUUGAUUGUGUCUGUGCUCCUAUCUCUAAGGAGGAGAUCCGUUAGGCCCUCUUCUCCAUUCCAUAUGGAAAGAGUCCAUGUCCUGAUGGAUUUUCAGCUUGCUUUUAUAAGAAAGCUUGGCAUUUUAUUCGUUCUGAUAUUAUGGAAGCAGUAACCAAAUUCUUUCACACUGGAAAAGUUCCCAUGACUUCAACUCUACAUUACUGUCCCUCAUUCCAAAAAAUAUAAAUGCCACGAACAUUCGAGACUUUAGGUCUAUUGGUUAUUGCAAUGUGUUGUAUAAGGUUAUUGCAAAGAUCUUAACUUGCAGAGUGGUUUCUUGUUUACCUAAGAGUAUCAGUAUUUCUCAAUCAUCUUUUGUUAAGGGUUGUGUGAUCGGUGACAACAUUUUGCUUGCACAUGAUCUGGUUAAUUCUUAUCACUUAAGUCAUGUCUCCUCUAGAUGUGCUGUUAAGGUGGAUUUUAAAAAAGCUUUUGACUCUGCUGAUACCAUGUAUUUGAUAAUAGCUCUUCCUGCAAUGAGGUUUCCUAAAAAGUUUAUUGGCCGGAUUGAAGGAUGUCUUGGCUCAGUUAUGAUCAGCAUGGGUUUAAAUGGAGGAGUAGUGGAUCAUUUUGAAGGAAAGAAGGGUUUAAGACAAGGGGAUCCUCUCUCCCCUGCCAUGUUUGUCAUUGUUAUGGAAUUAUUACGCUAACAAAUGUUGAGUGUUGCACAGAGGGGCUCUAUUCUUUUUCAGGCUUAAUAUCGCUCAGUUAUGCUUUGAUGAUGAUUUUUUAAUUUUUACUAAUGAAACCUGUAGUGUUGUUGAAGGGAUUUGUAGUAUCCAGGCCUCUUUCUAUAAGGUCUCUGGCUUACGUCUCAAUCCAGAGAAAAUCUAAAUUUUUUUCUCGUUCUGUUUCUGCUCAGGUUCGUGAAACGGUUGUCCAAGAUUCAGGGUUUAAGGAGGGUUGUCUUCAUGUUCGAUAUUUUGGUGUCCCUCUUACUUCUGAUAAACUCUCUUCAAAAGAUUAAUUAAGAGUUAGAAAGUAAGGCUUCUUAGUUUUGCUGGAAGGGUGCAACUUGUGAAUUCAGUUUUGCUUUCAAUGAGCCAACAUUGGUUAUCUAUUUUUCUUUUGCCUAAAGCUAUAUCUAUAGGGUUGAGAAAUUGUGCAAUAACUUUCUUUGGAAUGUGGGCGAUGGAGGUAAGAAAAAGGCCAAGUUUGUUUGGCAGUUUAUUGCUCUUCUAAAGAAAGAAGGAGGUUUAGGGAUUCGUGACUUGUGUGCUUGAAAUCUUACUUGUAUCACAAGGCAUAUUUGAAAUAUUCUAAUUAAAGAAGAAUCCUUAUGCAUAGUUUGGAUUGAAGCCUUUAGACUUAAGGAGAAUCCGUGCUUAUUUAUAAAGGUGCAGCUUACCAAUCCUAAGCAUGGAGCCGCAUCCUCAAGGCUAGGGAUGAGGCUUUGGCAUUCAUCUCCUUUGAUUCUGAAAGUUCCCCUUUUAUGGCAUGAUAACUUGAUGCCAAAGUUUUCUUGUUGCUAAGGUUUAUGAUUCUUUUCAUCCUCGAAGAGAUGUUGUUACUUGCCAUGAUUUUGUUUGGGAAUCAACUUGGAAAAGUAAGUAUUGUUUCAUUACUUGGUUGGCUAUCCAUAAUCAUUUGAACACUAGAGCGAAAAUGGCAUCUUGGGGGGUUUAGUCUGGAUAUCUAAUGCCUUAUGAGUGACAUUGAUGUUGAUGACAUUGAGUAUAUUUUUCAAAGUUGUACUUUUGGGAAAAUGAUUUGGACAUAUUAUUUUGGGGCCUCUACACCCCAGGUUGAUUGCUAGAGAGAGCUUAUUGAUUAUGUUGUGAAGUAUGAUGAUGGGAAUACUGGUUCUUUUAGAUUGUUUUAGAGAUCCAUUAUUGCACUACAAGAAACUGUCCGGCUAACGGUGGUUGUUUAUCCAUUCUUCCUCUUCGAUUGUCUUCUUUGAUUGUUCUUCUUCUUCUUUUUCAUCUCUAAUGAAAAAAAGAAAUAGAGANNNNNNNNNNNNNNNNNNNNNNNNNNNNNNNNNNNNNNNNNNNNNNNNNNNNNNNNNNNNNNNNNNNNNNNNNNNNNNNNNNNNNNNNNNNNNNNNNNNNNNNNNNNNNNNNNNNNNNNNNNNNNNNNNNNNNNNNNNNNNNNNNNNNNNNNNNNNNNNNNNNNNNNNNNNNNNNNNNNNNNNNNNNNNNNNNNNNNNNNNNNNNNNNNNNNNNNNNNNNNNNNNNNNNNNNNNNNNNNNNNNNNNNNNNNNNNNNNNNNNNNNNNNNNNNNNNAGUUUAACAGUGGAUUUUUAAAAUAUGUUGUUAAACUAACGACAGUUUUGAAUAUGCUAUUAAACAUGUGUCGUAAGCCAUGCAAUUUCUUGUAGAAUUGGAAGCAUUUGGUAUGAAAGAUGUUGAAAAAAUGUAGGGGAGAAAUCGAUCACUACUAGGUCUAUUGCUCAAAGGAUUUGUAGAGAGAUCCAUUUUUGAUUAAUUCAUAGUUGGUUUGUAGUUUCUUGUAGUUUUCUCUUGUUUUAGUUGAUUAUAAAGACUAGAUAGAUUAUAUAUUAAAUAUUUCUGGGUGGUAUAUUUUAUUGAGUAUACUGCUAUUUUGAUGAAUACAAUAUUAUAUUCAUAAAAAAAUGAUGUUUUUUUAUAAUGAAUAACUAAGACUUAAUUUUUGAAAAAAGUAUUAAAAUUAGCAAAGCUAGACUGUUUCUAAGACAAUACAAAAUCAAUUUUUGUAAGCUGAGGUAUGAAACUUGAUACAUAAGAGUUACAAAACUUAUCAAUUAGAUAUACACUAUUGUAAAUCAACUAGACAUGUCGUAGUAGGAUAGUAUAGAUCCUUUCUUGCCACGCAAUGGGUGACGCUAUUAUCUUGUCGUGGAACAUACACAAUGAAAGUGGAUAGAGAACUUGGUAUGAGAUGUCGACUAACACGCUCGUAGUGAGAGUUCAAAAAUAACCUAACCACCUAAAUAGUUAGGGCCGGAUUUCCUAGAGUCUCAAGGUUGCGUUUACUUAAAGUGUAACUAAGUGAUCAUCGAAAACAACUAAGUUGUGGUGUUAGUUCCACGACUUUUAAAAAUAUUAAUUUAACUAAAACUGCAAAUAAUAUGAAAAUGAGGAUGGCAAGACUGCACCGUAAUGGUUGUGAAAAUGAUUGGAAGGAAACUGCUAGAUUUCGAAUCCCCCUAAGCUAUCUAAUUGUAAUGAGCAAUGGGAGUCGAGUUGCACAUGUACUACCAGGUAACCCUCUCUCAAUCUAUAUGAAGGCCAGUCACAGUCCUUAACACGCACCCAAGCACAUGAUGAUUGCCGAAAGAACACGACUAGCUGAAUGUUGAAUCAGGCCUGAUGCGGCUUUUUAGCCCGUCUGAAUCAACUAAACCAUUCGAAUUAAGGGAAACCCACUUGGGAGGUGUCGGGUUCUUGGAGAUCGCACCUCUGCCCUGACAUUGCAGCUAGUCCUUGCAACUUGAUCUCAUAUAUGGGUGUUCGCCAAACUAUACAUCCAACCACACAUACGAUGCGACAAUAGCUCGAGAGUGGUGCUAAGCUACUAAAAAUGACUUCAUUUCUAGCCCUCCAAAGGUACCUUCAUGUAAUCUGAAAAAGAAGGUUGGCGUUUGCAACCUUCAGGUGGUAAUUCAGGACAUGAGUGGUGUCUCAAAUAAAGUCUGAUCUUCAAAAGGAAAGGCUAACCACAUGGAGGUUAUAACCACAAAGAGACAAUAUAAUAACACAUAUAGAGUUGUCUCCUCCGAGUGAGGGCAAGGAAAACACUUAUCAGAAUCCAUCAAGUGGCGGCCAUGAUUCACGAUCAAUGAAAUUAUCGGAUUCAAUAAAGACCAGUCUAUCGCCAAAUAAUCUCCAAGGAGCAGCACAUAUUCUCAAAUUAUAGUUUGAUUUUAAGGCGGAGCCUUCAAUACAUAUAGGUAUAUGACCUCUUGGUUUGUGUGGCAAAUUAAUUGUUGGGCGCACCAUAAUAAUACUUAGGAUUCCAAAAUUAAGAGGGAAUGAGAAAAAUAUCUAUAUUAUCACUCGAGCGAAUUUGAAAGGAUUUAUUUAAAAAAAAAACAAAUCUCAUUAUUUCAUAGUCAAAUCAAGCCAUUACAAAGUAGGAGUUUGCAUAAGAUUCUUUAGUCCAAUUAAGACAUGAUGAAUCACUUCAACAAGAUGGUUUUGCAACUCAUUUUGAUAGGAUUAGGGUAUGCGUAAUGUGAUUAAUCUUGUACAUUAAUUUGAACAAUCAUUAAAAGUGUCGUGUGGUGACUAUAGUUAGAGAAAUCAGAACGGUAAGAUAGGGACGGAGGAGAUAUAGAAAGAAAAGAGUCGGUGGGGAAGUUGUAUGGACGUCUUGGUGAGCUGCAGCCAAAGCUGACCGACCAGCUGUAGACCAUAGUAGCAGCAGUAGUAGUAUUAAUAGUAGGACUCCCUCACUCACUCAUUGACCACCACCAUCAUCAUCAUCAUCGUCAAACUGCCCCCAACCCAACUGCUGUAGUUUUAUUUAAAUGAAAAAAACGUGGCCACUUACUUGUAUGGCUCCAAAAUUUAACAACCGUUUUGCAAUAUGCGAGUUGCUUGCUUUCAAUUCCCGGGAUAACUCCAGUCCAACCUCUUCCACGUAGGCCCAGGUCCCACCUUCAUUUUAUCCAGCCUGUAUUCAAUCUCUCACCCUCACGUGAUUCUUCAUUCUUCUACCCCCUUUGACUUUUCCUACCCUUUGUCUCUUCAUUCUAGCAAUUCCCUUCUUUUAUUUCCCGUUUUAAUUAAAUUCUACUGAUUCCUUUUUUUUUUCUUUUCUUCAAUACUGGUUACUUUUUUGAAUUGGUGUUAGACAAACAGAUAUGGGAUAAUGAGUCCUGGUGCAACUCAAAUGAUAAGGCUCAAGACAUACGGUUCGGGAUUGUUCAUUAACCAACAUGUCAUACGUGCUAAGCUCUAAAUUCUUUCUUAUUACUCGAAACGUCUGAACAUGACGAAUAUAUACGUCCGUCCAAUACAAUUCUACGAGCACUGAAUCAAGGUACGGCAUGAAAAUGGAACUAAUUUAAAGCAGAAAAACACGUUACUGUCACACCUUUUAGUUUCUACUUUUGUAUAGAAAAACAUAAACAAGAGAGUGGUUGAAUUGAAUUGGAACUUAUAUAGGGAGUUGAAAAGGGUACAAAGCAGCCGGUGGUAAACAAACAGAGGCCUACAGCUGUAACCAGAAGAGAACUAAAGAAAGAAGAAGUGAAAAGAGAGUACUGACAGUGGCCGCUGCACUAAUUUUAAAAAGGAAGGAGGGAUCCACCUUCGCAAUCAAUCGCAGCAGCUUCACUUUCAGUUUUUUUAAUAAUAAUAAUAAUAAUAAUAACGUUUGUUUUGCGUUGCGCCGCUCUCUUUUCUCCUCCUUUUUCUCCAUUUAAACGAUUAAAGUACUCUUUUAAAAACGCUCCAACUUUGAUACCACAACAAUAAUAAUGAACUCUUGUUCAUUCAGUGUACUUUUCAUUUGCACCCUGUGAUGUUAGUUUUUAUAUUGAUUUGAUUUGAUGAUGGAAGCCCCCAACCGAUCCAAGAAUAUUAGUAUGCAUCCAACUAGCAAGAAGCAAUGUGUUGUUUAAAGUAUUCCUUUGUGAAGAAGUUCAGUUGGGAUGAUGCAAAAGAAGAUUUCUUUGUUCAAAAUGGUAUGCUGCAUAUCAUCUUUUUUUGGGGGUCAAAUUGACAGGUAAUCAAUACGCCUGAUUACUACACACAGAAUCAAAACUGCAGCAUUGACAAAUCUCCCACCCCCAACAAACUCUUUUUCUAAACCCUUUACCAACCCCCCAAAAAAUAGUAAAUAUCAUACUCAAAGCGAACACACACAUAGCUUGAGCCCAAGUUGUCAAUCAUCUACACAUAUACAUUAUAAUAAUACCUUAUAACUUAACCGACCCGACCAACCAUUUCGUUUUAUUUACAACCAAUCAUCCAUAAUUUGAAUAAAAAACCAACAUAAUCCUCUCGAUUUAAUUUAGGAUAGUUUGGAUGAGUGGUUUGAAAUUAAAAAGAUUUGAAUUAGCUAAAAAUUUGAGAAUGGCUUAUUACUAUUUUUAAAAUAUAUCUUUUAGAUGGUUUUUUUAGUACAAUUAUGAAUUAUUGUAAACAAAUAAAAACCGAAAGAAUAUACUUAAAUGUCUGAAAUAAAGUAAUUUUGUUAAAAAUUCUCAAAUCUAAAAAAGCUCUACCCUCUAACUUAUUUGAAGUCAUUUACAAAAUUAUCCGUUCAAAUUACCCGUUAAAAAUUCUCAAAUCUAAAACACUCAAAACGCCCAUUCAAAUCACCCAUUAAAACCACCGUCCAAUUCAAAAUGCGACCGGAACCAAUAAUGAGUAAAACUGAAAACAUACAAAUAGAACAAUAAUAUCUAAAUCACAAUAGUGAAGUGGAAGGCGAGAGUUCAAUCCAGGCGGCAAGGGACCCACCAAGGGCCAGUUUAGGUAAAUCUAAUAGAGAAAUCCCAAGUGUUCUCCCUACCAACUAUACAGGGAGCCACCUUCCAGGAAGAAGGCUGGCUACUUCCAUUUGGCUACCAGAUCACGUUCAUGAAUCCAUACCCUUAUAUUAAAACUCAUCCGUUUAAUUAACUGAGCACCUUCCUUCUUCUUAGUCCUUAAUAAAUAAAUAUAUAUAUAUAUAACUAUCCCGCACGAGCCUCUUCCUUUCUCAAAUACAUUUCCUUCCUUCCCAUCCCCAGACCCAAACCCAAAUAGAAACCAACUUAACCUAUUAAUUUCCCAUUCAGACGUACACUUCUCUUCAUUCUUCUUCAACACUAUCUAAUAUUUCACUCCUCAACCUGCAAAAAACAUGGACCCAAUGCUGCACAACAACAACAUGUGCUCUACCUCUUCUACCACCUCGGAUUCUUCCUCCUCCGAUUCCGCCGCCACCGGUUCAGCCAAGCGCACCGACCGGAUCAAGGGCCCAUGGAGCGCAGAGGAGGACCGGGUGCUCACCCGCCUUGUCGAGCGCCACGGCCCGAGGAACUGGUCCUUGAUUAGCCGCUACAUCAACGGCCGCUCCGGGAAGUCAUGUCGGCUGCGUUGGUGUAAUCAGCUCUGCCCCACCGUACAGCACCGCCCUUUCUCCGCCUCUGAGGACCACACCAUCCUUGCUGCCCACGCUCGUUACGGUAACCGCUGGGCAACUAUAGCUCGCCUUCUCCCUGGUCGGACCGACAAUGCUGUCAAGAACCACUGGAACUCCACUCUCAAGCGCCGCGCCUUUUCCGGACACGGACAAACCUCCUCCUCAUCGCCGCCUCAGGCGGCGGUGUUUCAUCAGCGGGCGGCGUCCGACGGGAACUAUAGUACUCAAGAGUACUGUUGGAAUUACGGUGAGGGGUGUUUGUCGCCAGCGACGCCAGCGGCAGUGGUGGAGGUGGAUACGGAGGAAACUCUGACGACGCUGACUCUUGCCCCGCCGGGGAUGGGAAGCGGUGGAGGUGGACAAGGGAUGAGUAAUGUGGCGGAGGAGAAGAGGGCGGACAGUAUGCCAGCUGGAUUUUGGGACGUUAUGAGAGGCGUCAUUGCUAAAGAAGUUAGAGAGUAUGUGAAUUCUACCAUGUCGUCGGAGAGCCCCACACCUACCGCCGCAGCCAGUUAUUUCCAUUAACGGCGGGGGGGGGUGGCGUCCAAACUUUGAAAACUGUUAAUAUCGGUUGUGAAAUGAUUGAACUAUUUCUCAUUCCCAUCCAUUUUAUUGUUGAGAUGUUAUUAUAGUAGGCUUUGAUUUGACUGAGCUUCGAAGUUUCGAACAGUGAUGAAUUGAAAUUGUAAAAAGUCUGUCCGACGAGUGCCGCCUAAAAUCAAGGCAUUGGCAGAAAUCAGGAGGGAACCACACAAAAGAAAAAUGAAGAGUUAAAUAUUAUUUAAUGUGACAGGCUGUCCAGUUUUAUAAUUUAUUAGUUAAACAAUUGUGUCUCCAUUUGAUUCGGUAUUGGAAGCACAAUUUUAAAUUUUGGGAAAAUCCAAUGGCUUUAUCCCAAAGUAUUAUAUGUUUAUAACGUAUUGUAUGGAUGUGAUGUGAAUAAAUAUGAAUAACUUCACGAAGAAAAGAGUGUUGCAUUGCAUAUUUACGUUUAAUUAUGAACGGUUAAUGACCAAUGCUACAACGCCAUGAUGUAUCGUAAUAUUUUGUCGUGUUCAUCGCCCUUGUUUAAACGACAUUUCAUGCAUAUUCGUAUAGUUUUGGGUAGAACUUUAGGAUGUUUUGUGCAUUCCUAGCAUCUAUCUAAAUUCAGUGUUUCGGGCCCGUUCCGGGUCCAUUUGAUGUUGUUUCGUAGUGUCCCUCAAGAACACGCCCGUGUCCUUUUCGCUGGAAGUUACGGCCGAGAAGUUAAUUUCAUGGAAUACGGCCGUGUCUCUAGAGAACACGACGUGUUCCUCCUCCAGACGGGUUUUCUCAGCAAUUUUCCUUCUCCAAUUGAGAAUAGGCGAUAUAAAUACCCGGGUUCUCCCUCAUUCAAAGACACACUUUAUUGGAUGAAAUUUAGAGAGAAAUUCAGAGGUGCGAGAGCAAGAAGAAGGCAACUUCAAUGAGUUCGGGAUCGGCGAAAUAAUCAAGACGACGAAUCAAGUUCUCGAGAAGAUCGUCGAAAUUAGGUUUUUUAGUAAUUCUUUCUGGAAACCUAUAAUCAAUGUCUUCCUCUUCUGAUUUUGAUUUUUUCUUUGAGAUUAUGAGUAGCUAAACUUGUCUUUCUUUUAUUAGAUGAGCCCUAGGUUAAUCCUACGAACGAAUGAUUUGAUACAUUUGACGUUUUAUGCGAGUUGGAUGAAUUUCAUUGCAUAUUUGAUUUUGUUUUCGAUUUCUUUUUUGAUUUCGUUUUCGAAAUCAAAAAACUAGGUUAGACGUUAACCCUCAUCCAGGAGCGAAUGAACUAGUCUAUCAUGUGAGCAAUUCUAAAUCGAUUAAUCACCUAGCGGGUUUUAGAUCUUUGUCUCGAAAGAGCGGACUAGGAUACUAGAUAGGUAGAAAAUUAGCUGACCGGAAAGGGCGUGAUUUGACUAAAGAAGAAUUGCGACAGUGCAAUGCAUAUAUCAUGUUUCGUUUAAAUCAUGGAAUUUGUCUGUCCUUUGUGAAUUAUAAUUGCCUAGGGUGAUUCGACAUCUAAGCAGUUUCAUCUUUAAUUGUCAAAACUUAUAUCGUGCAAUCUUGCAACCCGUUUACUUUUAAGCAAUUUUCAUCUUUCAUUUUGAUAGUUUGAUUGAUCCUCGUGGCACCUAAACCACACUACUUGAUACUUCGAUUAAUACUAAUUGUAACUUUGAGUAAGAUACUCAUAGAGACCCUAGGGAGAUUCAACUCGAUUAAUUUAUUAACCGGUUUAUUUUGAUAACGCUAAAAAUCGUUUAUCAGUAGACUUGUAGAUUUGCUUAUAAUUAACUCAUGGAUGAUGAUUGUCCUUAUAAUUGUUGUUUAGUGAAAACUGGUGUGUGUUGUGCUAUGUUAAAACUAGUUGAAAAGUGCCAAAAAAUUAUGAUUUAAGAACCGUGGUUAUAGCUACUAAUUACUGAAAGAAAUCAAAAAAAUUGAAAAACAAUUCUGGGUAAAUCCGUCAUCCCACCGUUAACCCAAAUGUUCAACCGGAAAAACCAAGUCGACUAUAGUCGUCGAUACAUCCGCGACAAAGAAUCUGCGACUAUAGGCGGUUGUCGCGGAUGGUUUAUCCGCGAAAACCCUCUUUGUGAAUUCGGCCAUUGUCGCGGAUAUAUCCUCGACAAAGGUCCCGUGACAACAAGGCCGGACACGGAUACAUCCGCGACAACGAUUGAUUUAUCCACGACAGCGGACAUAGUUUUGUUGUAGUGUGUGGAUAUCGAUCAAACUAGUUCGCUUUUUCCAUAACUCCAGCCAUGCUUGUCUCUUCUUUCUAUACUUCCUGCCCUUGCCUCCUACUUCUGUCCUAAACGAAUUCUUAGUCUAGUUUCCUUUCAUCAAUCCUGUGACGUACUGUUCGUUACGACCGUUGCCGCCAUACUACCACGCUCGUGACUGACUGUUCGCCACGAUUGUGGCCUACUGUUAACCACGACCGUGAUCGACUUUCUGUCACACCCGUGGUUAGUAGCCCACUACACCCGUGGCUAAUUUCUUGUCACGCCCGUGAGAGACUUUUUCCCAAAAUUCAGAGUAGACGUUCAUCUUUUCAUCUGCCAGAGACCUUUCUCCCUAUCUUCUUCUGGCUAUCCUUAAAUUUUUAGAAUUGGCAGAGUCCUCAUCCUUACUCUUUCCUUAGAUAUAUUUGAUCCCUAAAAACUUCUCAACCUUGCAUUUUUGGUGGAACACCCCAAGGAGCAAAAGACUACAUCCUAAUUCAGAAAGCCCCUCUUUUUAGCGGAACCUCUAAGGUUCAACAACUAGUCUUUUAAAUAAAGACGUAAGGUUCUCUGUCCUUUGGUUCCUUAACCCUUUUUCUUUGUCUUCAUGAAGCUGGUGAGAGAGUGAUCGUUCAAAUCCUGUAAAACUUUUUGUAGAAAUGUUUCAUUUCUUUUCAAAACACCUAUCAAGCAUGAUAACAAGACUCAAGUCGUACGUCCAGGGAUCGCUAUCAAGCACCCACCGCAAGUUCCAGUUCUUGGUAAAAACGGAACAAAAUGCAUUAAUCAUCCAGCUCCUCGAUCUUAAUUCCCGGAUAUGGCUUCCAAAGAUCCGCCAUCUGAUUUCUAAACAGCUCGAAAGUUGUGUUCUUGUCUAUAUGUACUGUUCCCACUGCACAUAAAGGAUACUCAUCUUCAAUCUCAAUCUCCCCCAGCUCCGGUACAUCCGUUCCUUCAUCUACCUCUUCCUCUUCAAGCGUUAAUUGGCAAAGGUUUUGCACCAGCUCCGUCAUACUGCAAAUUCCGAUCGUCUGAACAUGGUCUCUGUUAGAAGUUAGAAAACCCUAACCCAUGGUCUCUGAUUGAAUAAAAAACUCGCUGCUGCAAAAGGUCCCGAGGAUAACGAUGCUGCAAAUUUGGCUCAUAUCUUGUUAUAGUAUCAAAUGCAGAAACGAUGAAGAACAAACGGCGUUAAGAGGAAAGGAGAAGACCACGUUAGUCAACGUGAAGAAAAGAAGAAGAAGUGCUUAAAUGAAACGACGAGUUUCGUCUUUCGUUUGUUUUUAGUCGUUGAUGUAUUAAACAUUGCCACGUGGUUUUACCCGCGUUUACAUUUCCGUUUUUACUGUUUACCGUUGGGUCAGUAUAAAACCCAAUCAAACGGAAUAAUCGAGUAUGAGUUUUCAGACUCUCAUCCCUAUCUUCUUCUUCUUCCUCUCUGCACUUUUCCUGCGUUUUUCCUUGAGCUCACGAUCAAACUAAUAUGGUAUCAGAGCCUCUGCUAUCAAACUAACGAUAAUGACUCGAAGUAAUGAAGAUGAUGAUGAUGAUGAUGAUGAGCAGCAAAACCAUCAGCAAACUCCAGGAUUCAUUUUUGGAUCCAUGGGAAAUGUACAUCGUAGCAGAGACACUUCUCCGAUGACUUAUAUUCAUCUGACCUUUGGUAAUCCUUAUUACCUGAAUCCUAAUGAAAAUCUAUCUCAAUCUAUAGUCAAUACUGUGCUAGAUGGAUCAAACUACCAAAUAUGGAGUAGAUCUGUACGUUUUGCGUUGAAAACCAAGCAUAAGGUAGGAUUCAUCGACGGAUCUAUUCCUCCUCCAGCUCCUACUAGCGAACAAUAUUCUCUAUGGGAUGCUUGUAAUACUAUGGUACUCUGCUGGAUAGCUAAUUUAUUGCAUCCAGAGAUUUGUAGGAGUGUGCUAAAUCAUGAAAAUGCUCAAGUUCUUUGGCAAGAACUUAAACGAAGGUUUGGACAAGCUAAUGCUCUAAAAAUGGCUAAUCUACAAGAUGAAAUUCAUGGAUGUAAGCAGGCUCAAAUGUCAGUCACUCAAUAUUACACAAUGAUCAAGGGAAUUUGGGAGGAAUACAGUCAGUUUUCCCCGAUUGUUUCGUGCACUUGUGCUCCAGCUAACACUUUGCCUUGUGCAGCAGUAGUAGCUUUCCAGGAG